CAUAGUUUGAGACUUUUAUUUUGAAAUUACACAGGACAGGGGUAAGGAGAUUCAGCGCGCGGCAAGCUUUGUUAGACAAGUCAGACAUUUUUUCUCUCUUGCGUGAACAUACACCACAUACGCACAGGAACACCUUUUCUCAUUGUUUUACUUGAAGAUUUAUGUGUACAUCACCGUUACGGAUUACAUUUUAGCAUAUUAUGUUCGUGUUAAGUCUGUUUUGUGAACUACCUGCAAGGAGCUAAUGGACAGCUAAAUGAACUGCUAGUUUGCACCCUUGGAAAGUGGAGCGAGUUUCACGGUGCUGGAAGAGCGACAAUAAAUGUCAUUGCACCCGUUU